rnacentral:rRNA from 1 species
AGUAUCGGAACGUACCUUUCAGUGGGGGAUAACGUAGCGAAAGUUACGCUAAUACCGCAUAUUCUGUGAGCAGGAAAGCAGGGGAUCGCAAGACCUUGCGCUGAUUGAGCGGCCGAUAUCAGAUUAGCUAGUUGGUGGGGUAAAGGCCUACCAAGGCGACGAUCUGUAGCGGGUCUGAGAGGAUGAUCCGCCACACUGGAACUGAGACACGGUCCAGACUCCUACGGGAGGCAGCAGUGGGGAAUUUUGGACAAUGGGGGCAACCCUGAUCCAGCCAUGCCGCGUGAGUGAAGAAGGCCUUCGGGUUGUAAAGCUCUUUCGGCCGGGAAGAAAUCGCACAGGCUAAUACCCUGUGUGGAUGACGGUACCGGAAUAAGAAGCACCGGCUAACUACGUG